rnacentral:lncRNA from 1 species
CCUAGGGUCCCUCCAGCGGUUCCCAUCUUUAGCCCUGUGCUUGGACCCUAGGAUGGGGCUGGGGGAGUGUUAGGUUUCCAGCUCCCAAGCACCAAAGCGGGAUGUGGGCUGCUCUGACCUCUUUCCAGCAGCUGGCCGGUGACGCUCAACCUCCAGGCUGGCCUCCAACUCAUGGCAAUCCUCCUGCCUCAGCCUUCUGGGUGCUGGGAUGACAGGCAUGAGCCACCACGCCUAGCGAGCCAGACAGUUUUGAGGUGAGUUGGUCGGGUGUA